UGUAGUCAUAUGCUUGUCUCAAAGAUUAAGCCAUGCAUGUCUAAGUAUAAACGAAUUUAUACAGUGAAACUGCGAAUGGCUCAUUAAAUCAGUUAUAGUUUAUUUGAUAGUACCUUACUACAUGGAUAACCGUAGUAAUUCUAGAGCUAAUACAUGUGGAGAGACCUGACUUACGAAGGGUCGUAUUUAUUAGAUAUAAAACCAAUGCGGUCUCGGCCGGUUAUUUGGUGAUUCAUAAUAACUUUGCGAAUCGUAUGACUUUGCGUCGACGAUGAUUCAUUCAAAUUUCUGCCCUAUCAACUUUCGAUGGUAAGGUAUUGGCUUACCAUGGUUACAACGGGUAACGGGGA
rnacentral:rRNA from 1 species